rnacentral:rRNA from 1 species
GGAGGCCACUGCUAUUGGGAUCCGACUAAGCCAUGCGAGUCGAGAGGGUUCGGCCCUCAGCAGACUGCUCAGUAACACGUGGAUAACCUACCCUUAGGUGGAGGAUAAUCUCGGGAAACUGAGAAUAAUACUCCAUAGAUCUAGGAUGCUGGAAUGCAUCUAGAUUGAAAGUUCCGGCGCCUGAGGAUGGGUCUGCGGACUAUCAGGUUGUAGUCAGGGUAAAGACCUGACUAGCCUACGACGGAUAUGGGUUGUGAGAGCAAUAGCCCAGAGACGAUAUCUGAGACACGAUAUCGGGCCCUACGGGGCGCAGCAGGCGCGAAAUCUUCACAAUGUGCGAAAGCACGAUGAGGGGAUCCCAAGUGCUGGCACGUAAGUGUCAGCUGUUUCUUUGUCUAAAAAACAAAGAGAGUAAGAGCUGGGUAAGACGGGUGCCAGCCGCCGCGGUAAUACCUGCAGCUCAAGUGGUGGCCGCUAUUAUUGGGCCUAAAACGUCCGUAGCCGGUUUAGUAAAUGCUUGGGUAAAUUGUGUAGCUUAACUAUACGAAUACCGGGUAGACUGCUAAACUUGGGACCGGGAGAGGCUAGAGGUACUCCUAGGGUAGAGGUGAAAUUCUGUAAUCCUAGGGGGACCACCAGUGGCAAAGGCGUCUAGCUAGAACGGGUCUGACGGUGAGGGACGAAGCCCUGGGGCGCAAACCGGAUUAGAUACCCGGGUAGUCCAGGGUGUAAACGCUGCUUGCUUGAUGUUAGUUGGGCUCCGAGCCCAACUAGUGUCGGANAGAAGUUGUUAAGCAAGCUGCCUGUGAAGUACGGUCGCAAG